GCAUUGAUAGUGUAACGGUAACAUUGAGGCUUCCCAAUGCAGAAUUGCCUUAGCCCCGGGUUCGACUCCCGGUCAAUGCA